UGGACAAGCGAUUGAGUAUGUGGGAGAAGUACUGUUUGCGGCACUGUUUUACUGUGCCAGAAGGAUUCUCUUUGCCUAAAGCAGAUGAACCAUCUGGUGAUACUUCCGUGGAUCUUGACAGUCUUGGUGAUGCAGAGUUAGAUGCACAGUUGGAUUCUUUGAGAAAUAAACUUACUCAGGCAGGUAAAAGAGUCUGCUGACCUCAACAGAGAACUUCGAGCACUGG